AAUUCUCACCCGGAGUUUAACCGAGACCGAUGACUUGAAGAACCACCGUUGUAAUUCAACUAUAAGAAC
rnacentral:tRNA from 1 species